rnacentral:lncRNA from 1 species
GCACAAACGUGGAUUUCAGAGGAGCAGUGCCAACCCCAAAGUGCUCACCUGACAGGAGCUGGGGCAAGGUUUUUACAGGGAAGUCACCAAAGCAAAGGGAAACAGUUAUUUCAUUGGUUAGGGCUUAAGCAGUUGCCUUAUUUGGGCUCCGUGUGAUGGGUUGCUCUUAAGUUUCACUUUCCUGGAUUUGAGCGCUUUGGCUCUGGCUUAAGUUUGGUUUGCUUAUGUGGGCUACCAAGGUGUUAGAGCCAUCCCCAGUCUAAUGGCCUCCUUGUUUGGACACUUUUAGCAAUACCCUCUGCGUUCCUGAAUUCUAUUAAUGGCGCCAUGGGGUCACCUAAGGUAGAAACUUCAGUCUCCCCAGGAACUCAUUCUUCCUCACUGCCCAUCGUCAAUCGUUGGCAGGUCAUGUUUUCCAGACAUGGAUGCAACCUAUAUCUAUAAUGCUUGCCCUUCUAGACCCCCGUCAAGAGAGAGAUUUUGUCGGGGCGCCUGGGUGGCCCAGUUGGUUGAGUCUUCGGCUCAGGUCAUGAUCUCACGGUUCGUGAGCUCGAGCCCCACAUCGGGUCCUGUGCUGACAGCUUGGAGCCCGGAGCCUGCUUGGGAUUCUGUGUCUCCCUCUCUCUCUGCCGCUCCCCUGCUUGCUCUCUCUCUCUCUCUCUCUCUCUCUGUCUCUCUCUCUCUCAAAACUGUAUAAACAUUUAAAAGAGAGAGAGAGCCUAGAUAGACCUGCCUUCCUGCCUUGACCGAGAAAAUAGAGAAGGAGUAGUGCUAUUUGUCUUCUGAGAUGAAGUCACAAAAAUACCACCUCAUUGUUUUGGAUGCUCAUUCUUGGAACCCAAUCGCUAUGCCGUAAGGAAGCUCAAGCUCUUCCUGUGGAAAGGCUCACUUGGAAAGGAACCAACGUCCCCAGCCUUCAGCCCCGGCUAAGCUUAGUCAGUAGCCAGAACGAACUUUCCAACCGUGUGAGUAAGCCAUCUUGGAAAGAGGACCCUCCAGCCCCUCACUGACCUUCCUCCAGAUGACGCCGUAGGGAACAGAGACAAGCCCUGGCCAAAUUGCGGAUUCAUACGAAAAAUAUGAAUUUUUAAGCUACCAAAUUUGCAGGUGGCUUGUUACAUAGUAGUGGAUAGCUGGUGUGCUAACCCUGAAAUGUCUCUUAAUUCCGUUACCGCCUCUCCAUUCCCACAGGUCAGGCCCCCAUCACCUCCUUAAUUAAGAGACAAUCUGCCUAACGAAUCUGUGGAAGUAAAGGCCUGCUCACAAUAAUAGUAAGCACGACUGAAUGCCAAUUUAGCUGCAAUGCUAAGCGCUUUGAAUAUAUUAUGGUAUUUAAUCCUUACAAUUCUACCAAGUGCUUUGAAGCUGAAGGAAUAAGUUUAAGUAGCAAAGUAACUUAAGGACCUAAUCCCUUUCUUUUACAGAGGAGGAAAUGAUGCUCAGAAAGGUUAAGAACUAGCCCCAAAUUCAAGCCCAAGUCUUUCCAAGUCCAAGGUCAGGUCUUAAAUCCACCUUCCUUGCUCACAACUGGCUAGCGGCACCCGUUGCUUCUGGGAAAAUGACUUAAACCUGACUCUAAACUUGGUGUGCAAGUUGGGAAAGGGUGUGGUCCUAACUUGCACACAACGUGUAGCUUUGGUGCUGUGGCCUGUGAAUUUUCCCGUUGCACUUGUCGUAUGCGGGGUGGUGGGAAGAAAGGCUGGCGGCCAGUCUAGGCACUGGCCCUAGUCACUUACACUUGCCAGGACUUGGUUUCCUCAACCAGCGAGAGACUAGGGGCACCUGGGUGGCUCAGUUGGUUAAGUGUCCGACUCUUGAUUUCACCUCGGGUUACGAUCUGACGGUUCGUGAGUUCGAGCCGCGUGUCUGUCUCUGUGCUGACGGCGUGGAGCCUACUUGGGAUUCUCUCUCUCUUCCCCUCCCCUGCACACACACACACACACACACACACACACACACACGUACACACACACUCGCGCUCGCUCUCUCUCUCAAAUAAAUAAACAUUAAAAAAACAUAAAACAGACAAUUGAACCAGCUCAUAUUAGAGUUCUCUUCCAGCUCUGACUCUGUGUAAUGUGGAAACUGGCCUCUUGUACGUUUGUGCUUCCUGCCUCUCCGAGAACCGCAACCCCUGAGCUCCCCGUCGGGGCUCAUGUCCCCACUUCUGGGAAGAUGCCAGACUCAGAGACAGAUGCUUUAGCGAAUGUUCUCCAUGUACCACUUUACCGGAACUAGCUUUAGGUCGGGGAAUAAAAUCUUUUCUGCAGCUCUCAGAGAAGGCACUGUUCCCAGUGGUUUUGUGAAGCUAAGCUUUGGAGGAGGAAGGGAAGGAGCCUGAGAACCUGACUCACACACUUGCUUCCCAGCUCUUCUGCAUGGUUUUUGGACAUCAGUGCAACAGACCCUGAAAGCAGGGUUUGCCAAAGCCAAGUUCGGUCACUGUGUCGGCUACUACCUCUGCACAGUUACCUUAACCUUUUCCUGUUCCGUGGCUUCGGGUUGGAGAAUUUUAAGGGGGAGGUUUCGAAGGGUUUGUUUUUAAAUGUUAUUUACACACCUUUCCGCUCGAUUUGUGAACAUUUUACAGAAGUCCGUUUAAAACCUGAGAUGCUUUUAGAUAUGAAGGAGCAAGAAUCCUGAGAAGAGUCUUGUCCAGAACGUUAACCGAUGGCAGAAUCCCGGGAAUCGUCUUCUGAAUUUUGUCUGGAAUUCUACCCCUUUGAAUUUAUUGAAAUGUGGUUUCUCUUUUAGUUCCUGGUUCCUUUUAUUGUUUUUAUCUUGGCGCUAAUCUUUGUUUACCCAGGUUCUGACAUUUUUACUCCAGAAUUAAUUACCCCAGAUGGUCUACUCUCCUGUGUUUUCCAAGCAAACAAAGUGGGCAGGAAGUAUGAGUUUCCUGAACAAAUUGGCUUUCUGUUUUAGUCGGAGGCUUGGUCUUUUAGAAACUUGUUUAUUUUGUGUCUACUUUUGUUAUUUCUAAUUGAUAAAAAAAACAGGUUUUUUUUAAUUUGGAUCUAGUUAGAUUUUACCUUUUUCCAUUUAAAAUUUAGUCUUAAUAUUUUGCCCUUUGCUUCCCUGAGUCUCCUUCGUAGUAUCCACCGUUGUGUUGAAUUUGAACCGCGACACCGGCUCUGUUGGCGAGCUCCUUGCUCAAAAUAGCUUCUCCACACCUAGAACUUUGGCCUCAGAUUUCUGGUCACUUUGAGCCACUUCCCUUGACGUGACAACAUAAGCGAUCAGCAGGUGAGCUCCUGUGAGCCUUGCCUCUUGGGGUUUCACACAGAUGGGUCACCCCUAGCUUUGGUGAGUCAUUCAGUGGCCCCCUCUCCCCUCCCCUCCUCUCCCCUCCCCUCCUCUCCCCUCCCUUCCACCUCAGCACUGAGUACAGCAGUACACGGUUCUCUGAAGGACAUCACCUCUCUUUCCGCCUUCCUCCUGAUGCGACGGCAGGAACCCCGGAAAUGGCUGCCUUAAAUGUAGGGACCCUAGGAUCUGGCCUCCACGCACAACCCAGAUCACCAGGAAUAACCCAGUCCUGAGACACUGCCCCUCUGCCCGAACCGGGAUUGGGCCGGGCCGGACGCCGGGAAGCUUCUCCAGAUGCAGCCACUGUCUGUGGCAGGAAGAGGGCCUCCCCGAAAUCUGUCGUCAGGCUCGGCUUGUCCUCUUCCGUCCCUCCUCACACCCUCUACUUCCCUGGCCUGUCGCUUUCAUCCAUCCCUCCAGUGUCUAGAGACACAACUGUGUGCCGGGCUCAUGCUGGUCUUCGGAGGCACCAUCCCGUAAGCGGUCAUGGUAAUGCGCCCGGUGCCGAAAUGGAGACCUGGCAAAGACGUCUGGGUCUGUGAAAGGUUGCGCAGUGCACGCCCCGCACAGAGGCCAUGUAAGCGGAGUGUGGAAAAGAUGGUUUGCAGCUCGCUCACCAAUGUUCUCCGUUCCGCCCACUUUGGAUCAGAGGACUUCUUACAGGAGAAAUACGAUUGGCCGGAGGCCACCUUCACCCAGUGAUCAAGUUAACACCCCCGCCCCCGCCCCCAUAUUCGUACAGCACAACACCAUUUCCGUGCUGUUUCUACCCAAAAUACAGUACCUGAAUCUCAUUAUGAAGAAACAAGAGAGAAGCCCAGAUUGAGGGCUUACAUAACAGCUGGUCUGUAUUCUUCAAAAAUUCAAAAAGGCCAAAGUUAACAAAAGACAAAGACUAAAGGGGGGAAAAGAAAGAAAGGGAGGGAGGGAGGAAGGAAGGAAGGAAGGAAGACCAAGGAACUGUCCCAGUUCCAGGACUUUCUUUUGCUAUCAUGGACAUCACUGGGACAACUGGCCAGAUCUGACCAUUGUCUGAAGGUUUUAGUGUUUUAUCAGGGUUAAUCUCCUGAUCUUGAGAAUUGUACUAUGGUUAUGUGAGAGUCUCUAGGAAAUACACACUAGAGUAUCUGAGGGUAAAGGGGCAUCGUGUCUGUAAUUUAUUCUCAGAUGGUAGAGAAAAAGUUGUGUGUGUGUGGAGAGGAGGCUGGGGGAGAUAAACACAAUGUGAUAAUGUUAACGUGCAGGGAAAUCUGGUUGAAGAGUAUAUAGGAAUUCCUUGUACUGUUCUUGCAACUUUCCUGUAAGUCUGAAAUGAUGUCUAAAAAAGAAUUUCCGGGGUGGUGCCUGGGGGGUUCACUUGGUAAAGCAUCCAGCUCUCGGUUUUGGCUCAGGUCAUAAUCUCACGGUUUCGUGAGUUCGAGCCCCGCGUCGGGCCCUUGUGCUGACAGCUCGGAGCCUGGAGCCUGCUUCGGAUUCUGUGUGUGUGUGUCUCUCUGCCCCUCUCUUGCUCCCACUCUGUCUGUCUGUCUGUCUCUCUCUCUCUCUCUCUCUCAAAAAUAAACACUAAAAAAAUUUUUAAUGAAAUAAAA